UUUGAAAUCUGGCCCCUCCGGGGUCCGAGUUGUAAUUUGCAGAGGAUGCUUCGGGUGCGGCCCCUGUCUAAGUGCCCUGGAACGGGCCGUCAGAGAGGGUGAGAAUCCCGUCUUGGGCAGGGUGCCCGUGCCCGUGUGAAGCUCCUUCAACGAGUCGAGUUGUUUGGGAAUGCAGCUCUAAAUGGGUGGUAAAUUUCAUCUAAAGCUAAAUACCGGCCGGAGACCGAUAGCGCACAAGUAGAGUGAUCGAAAGAUGAAAAGCACUUUGAAAAGAGAGUUAAACAGCACGUGAAAUUGUUGAAAGGGAAGCGCUUGCAACCAGACUCGGCCUCGGGGUUCAGCCAGCAUUCGUGCUGGUGUACUUCCCCGGGGCAGGGCCAGCGUCGGUUCGGGCGGCCGGUCAAAGGCCCCAGGAAUGUAUCGUCCUCCGGGACGUCUUAUAGCCUGGGGUGCAAUGCGGCCAGCCUAGAUCGAGGAACGCG
rnacentral:rRNA from 1 species